rnacentral:rRNA from 1 species
UGCCAGCCGCCGCGGUAAUACGAAGGGUGCUAGCGUUGUUCGGAAUUACUGGGCGUAAAGAGCAUGUAGGCGGAUGAAUUAGUCAGAGGUGAAAGCCCCGAGCUCAACUUGGGAACUGCCAUUGAUACUGCUAAUCUUGAGUCCGAGAGAGGUGAGUGGAAUUCCUAGUGUAGAGGUGAAAUUCGUAGAUAUUAGGAAGAACACCAGUGGCGAAGGCGGCUCACUGGCUCGGUACUGACGCUGAGGUGCGAAAGCGUGGGGAGCAAACAGGAUUAGAUA